GCGGAGGGGAGUGGCGGUGCUGAAGGGGCGGCUGGCGCGGUUCCCGCCGAGCGCUGAUGGGAGGGAAGACGGGACGGCGCUGAGGCCGGGCGACGGCGGCGGCGGCUGCCCCUCGGCCUCCCACACACGCACGGCUCGGUGUGCGCUGCCUCUCACACACACCCCGCACACACUGAGGGGGGAGGAACCGGGACUCGCCCUUCCUCCCUCCCUCGCGGCGGCUGCGCCCAGCCCAUUAACCCUGCGGCCCCCGGGCUCCCCGCGGCUGAGCGUCCGGGAGGCGCCGCCUCUCCCCUGCACGGAGGGAGCGGCCGUUGGCAGCCGUUAGGCGCACGGGGAGGCCGGACGCCCUUUCGCAGGACAGCGCUUCCCGCCACACCUCGCCGCCGCCUCUCCCCCGCACCCCCCCUCCGGUGGAGGGAUUGGUACGUUCCGUUUUGCUGCAGUCAAGCCCGUUGGUCAGCAGCGGGUGGGGAAGGUAGACUACAGGUGAAACCAGAUCGUCCUCUGUGCUGGUUAUGUGGUUUGACACCAUCUAGAAGGACUGAAACAAGAACUGUGCUAAGCAAGAAGCAUAUCAAGUGUCUGAGCUAAAUGUUUUAUGAUUACAAACAAUAUCCUAAAGAGACAUGGAAAUACUGCUAAGGCUUUUCCCUGUAUUCCAGGAACCAGAAUUGAAAAAAAAUUCAAAUUAGUUCCACGCUAAGGACCAGGGAUAUACCUCCAGCAACCUGCCACCGUGCUCGUGUUACUGCAAAGCUGUGGAGAUGCGGACACAAAAGUGUAUUCAUGGGCAGCGGAUACUUAUAGUGUGGAUAUGGCAAACACCGAGUUCACAAGCACAUAAGCUUACAUGCAGAGUCAGUCCAUAGUUAAAUAUCCACAAAGAGCUGAAAUUAUUUCUUGACGUGCUUCCCUAGGGCUUUUUGUUGUAGCUUAUCACAGGCUCUCAAAAUAGCAUUACAUUCAAUAUUCAACAGCCUGUUUGAGUAGACCUCUGUAUUAACAUGGAGUGGUACCUCCCAGUUAACAGUGGUAUGAAAAUGGACUGUUUAAAUUGUCAUUACUAGGUAAGGUAAUAGUUGAGUCAUAAGAAAAUCUAGCCUUUCUGAAGUAAAUAGAAAAAAUGGCACUGAUUUCAGUAGAGUCAGGAUUACAUUCUCUUUACUGUACAUUAAAUUGGGUAUAAGCCCUAUGGAGAUGCCUCUUUGCUUCUGAAGCACACUUAAGUAGCAGACUGGAAAUUCAGCAUCAGUUUAACUUAAAUGAAAAAAAAAAGCAGCUGAAUAUGAAAUUAAAUAAUGCAGUUUGAGAUUAAAGUGGUUGUUUCUGCCAAAAUGGUCAUAUAUCAAAGUUAAUCAUCUUUUGAGAUGAGGAGUGUCAUCUUUUGAGAUGAGGAGUUCUUGGAGCUUUGGACCUUUGUAUCAGGGACGGUACAUGUGUCCUGUGCUGUCUGCCAGAGAGGGAGCCAGUGAAAGUACUGGUGGAGGAGUAAUGGUAGCGCAGGAGGGAAACUGCUGCUGGCCAGGCAGUCCCAAGAGCACUCUCUAACCUUGGCCAUUUGGGUUAAGCCUUGGAGUUUCAGCUGGGCUGUUCGCAGGAGAUGCCCAAGUAAGGCCUUGUGAGGGACAGUAUGGGACAUUACUGCAAGAAGGGGAGCUGAUUUGGCUUUGACAUUUCAGGGGUUGUUAUAUUCAUUUUUAGUUUGUUUUGAUGACAUUUUAAGCUCUUGGGAAAGGCACACCAAGUUCAGAAUAGAUGCUUGGCUAUGGAUCUCUAGAAAAACAGUAAGUAUUUAUUUAAGGUCAUUAAUAGGCUUAGGUAGACAUUACAGUGAUUCACGGUUUUAAAGUAACUUCAUGGCUAGUUGUGGUAAAAAACAAGUAAAAAUGAGCAAGUCUAUGCUACAGUGCAUAACAUCAAGUUUUGGACAUGUGUGUAUAUAUACUAAUCCUUAUAUAAUGUACAGGACAGAAUGUCUUAUGAUAAUUCUUUGAAAAUUAUCUGUUCUUGAGAAUGCCUGAGCUGUUUUAAAGGAAGCUCUAAAAUAAACAUAGAACUCAG